GCAGGCCUAACACAUGCAAGUCGAGCGGAAACGGCAGUAUUGAAGCUUCGGUGGAUUUACUGGACGUCGAGCGGCGGACGGGUGAGUAACGGCUGGGAACCUGCCCUGACGAGGGGGAUAACCGUUGGAAACGACGGCUAAUACCGCAUAAUGUCUACGGACCAAAGGUGGCCUCUACAUGUAAGCUAUCGCGUUGGGAUGGGCCCAGUUAGGAUUAGCUAGUUGGUAAGGUAAUGGCUUACCAAGGCAACGAUCCUUAGCUGGUUUGAGAGGAUGAUCAGCCACACUGGGACUGAGACACGGCCCAGACUCCUACGGGAGGCAGCAGUGGGGAAUAUUGCACAAUGGGGGAGACCCUGAUGCAGCCAUGCCGCGUGUGUGAAGAAGGCCUUCGGGUUGUAAAGCACUUUCAGCAGUGAGGAAGGUCGUGUACUUAAUACGUGCACGGCUUGACGUUAGCUGCAGAAGAAGCACCGGCUAACUCCGUGCCAGCAGCCGCGGUAAUACGGAGGGUGCGAGCGUUAAUCGGAAUUACUGGGCGUAAAGCGCAUGCAGGCGGUUUGUUAAGUCAGAUGUGAAAGCCCGGGGCUCAACCUCGGAACCGCAUUUGAAACUGGCAGGCUAGAGUCUUGUAGAGGGGGGUAGAAUUUCAGGUGUAGCGGUGAAAUGCGUAGAGAUCUGAAGGAAUACCAGUGGCGAAGGCGGCCCCCUGGACAAAGACUGACGCUCAGAUGCGAAAGCGUGGGUAGCAAACAGGAUUAGAUACCCUGGUAGUCCACGCCGUAAACGCUGUCUACUUGGAGGUUGAGGUUUUAGACUUUGGCUUUCGGCGCUAACGCAUUAAGUAGACCGCCUGGGGAGUACGGCCGCAAGGUUAAAACUCAAAUGAAUUGACGGGGGCCCGCACAAGCGGUGGAGCAUGUGGUUUAAUUCGAUGCAACGCGAAGAACCUUACCUUACUCUUGACAUCCAGCGAAGCCUUUAGAGAUAGAGGCGUGCCUUCGGGAGCGCUGAGACAGGUGCUGCAUGGCUGUCGUCAGCUCGUGUUGUGAAAUGUUGGGUUAAGUCCCGCAACGAGCGCAACCCUUAUCCUUGUUUGCCAGCACAUAAUGGUGGGAACUCCAGGGAGACUGCCGGUGAUAAACCGGAGGAAGGUGGGGACGACGUCAAGUCAUCAUGGCCCUUACGAGUAGGGCUACACACGUGCUACAAUGGCAGAUACAGAGGGCAGCGAGACAGCGAUGUUUAGCGAAUCCCUUAAAGUUUGUCGUAGUCCGGAUUGGAGUCUGCAACUCGACUCCAUGAAGUCGGAAUCGCUAGUAAUCGUGGAUCAGAAUGCCACGGUGAAUACGUUCCCGGGCCUUGUACACACCGCCCGUCACACCAUGGGAGUG
rnacentral:rRNA from 1 species